AUUGAACGCUGGCGGCGUGCUUAACACAUGCAAGUCGAUCGGUAACGCGGGGGCAACCCUGGCGACGAGAGGCGGACGGGUGAGGAACGCUUGGGAAUCUGCCUAUCAGCGGGGGACAACCCGGGGAAACUCGGGCUAAUACCGCAUACGCUCUACGGAGGAAAGCCGGGGACCGCAAGGCCUGGCCCUGCUAGAUGAGCCCAAGUCGGAUUAGCUAGUUGGCGGGGUAACGGCCCACCAAGGCGACGAUCCGUAGCUGGUCUGAGAGGACGACCAGCCACACUGGGACUGAGACACGGCCCAGACUCCUACGGGAGGCAGCAGUGGGGAAUUUUGGACAAUGGGCGCAAGCCUGAUCCAGCCAUGCCGCGUGCGGGAAGAAGGCCUUCGGGUUGUAAACCGCUUUUGUCAGGGAAGAAACGCGCUGAGCUAAUACCUCGGCGUAAUGACGGUACCUGAAGAAUAAGCACCGGCUAACUACGUGCCAGCCGCCGCUGUAACAC
rnacentral:rRNA from 1 species